ACUUUAAGUUAAAUAGAUAAAUUUAUAUGUAAACAGCUGCGGUACUGCCCUCUUAUGCCAUCGAAAUACGUAAUCUCUGUUAGAUUAAAAUGAAUUGCACACAUAUAAUAAAAAAAUACAAUGGAAACGAUUGAUCUAUUCGAACUGCCUUAUAAAGAUGGAACUAAAAUUUCUCGAAUUCACAAUGGUUAUGCGUACCGCUUGAAAUAUAAAACAAAAAACCGUUGUUGAGUGCAUAAACGAAACUUUUACUUACUUUGUAGUAGUUGAUAACGAUUAGGUGAUUUUUUUAAAAGAAAUUUAGCGACAUACCAUCUGCUCAGUACGAAAGAUCCCAUUUUUUGCUUAGGUAACAUGUAGAAUAAAAUAUCGUUAAGUAGUAACCUAGCUUCGUAACGAUAUUUUUUGAUGACUAUUGAAAUUUGAAAAUCACUGGAAACCAUGAAGUUACUUGGCUUGUUCAAAAAAAAGUGAUUUAAAACUGAAAUGCAGAGGUCAUAUUAUAUUGGAUAAUGGUAGAAUUAAAGAAAUUAGCCAACACAAUCAUCCUCCAGAUGAAUUAUUAGAGGACAAGAGUAAACUAAACAGCGCCAUAAAAGUAGCUGCCCAACAAAAUCUUUGUUCUUCCAAAGAGUGCUACGAAAGGCUUUCCAGAGAAUCGUUGUCUUACACAUUUAGAAGGUGGAACGCGAAGCAUCGUUCUGAAAUAAAAAUGAAGUCAUCUUCGUCCAAAAAUAAAUCUCAAAACAGUUUACCCAAAGAAGAAAUCAAAGACGUGGAACACUUUACUUCUCUAUUGAGUCAAAAUCAUAAUCUAUGUACUUACAGCACAGUGAUUUCAGACAGAAAUCGUUCACAUCAAAUUACAUCUAAAUUAAUCAAUGAUGGGCGAUACAGACACCUUGUGUUGUACGACAAUGAUUUGAUGGAUGUUAUCAGUGACGCUAGACAUAUUAUAGUUCAUAGAA